CAAUGGGGGAAACCCUGNAUGCAGCGCACGCCGCGCUGAAGGAAGAAGUAUCUCGCGCUAUGUAAACUUCUAUCAGCAGGGNAAGAUAGUGACGGUACCUGNACUAAGAAGCCCCGGCUAACUACGUGCCAGCAGCCGCGGUAAUACGUAGGGGGCAAGCGUUAUCCGGAUUUACUGGGUGUAAAGGGAGCGUAGACGGUGUGGCAAGUCUGAUGUGAAAGGCAUGGGCUCAACCUGUGGACUGCAUUGGAAACUGUCAUACUUGAGUGCCGGAGGGGUAAGCGGAAUUCCUAGUGUAGCGGUGAAAUGCGUAGAUAUUAGGAGGAACACCAGUGGCGAAGGCGGCUUACUGGACGGUAACUGACGUUGAGGCUCGAAAGCGUGGGGAGCAAACAGGAUUAGAUACCCUGGUAGUCCAAGGGCGAAUUC
rnacentral:rRNA from 1 species